rnacentral:tRNA from 1 species
GUCACGAUAGCUCAGAUGGUAGAGCAGCGGCGUUUCUAGCCGAAGGUCGUGGGUUCGAAUCCCUCUCGUGCCA